GCAAGCGUAACAUGCAGUCGGAGGGGCAAGGACAGCUUGCUCUCAGGCUGGGGAGGGGCCGCCCGUUGAUGAAUCCAUCGGGAAUCGACUUUUUCGUGGGGGAUAACGUGAGUGAAACUUACGCUAAUACCGCAUACGACCUACGGGUGAAAGCAGGGGAUCUUCCGACCUUGCGCGAUUGAAUGAGCCGAUGUCGGAUUAGCUAGUUGGCGGGGUAAAGGCCCACCAAGGCGACGAUCCGUAGCUGGUCUGAGAGGAUGAUCAGCCACACUGGAACUGAGACACGGCCCCGACUCCUACGGGAGGCAGCAGUGGGGAAUAUUGGACAAUGGGCGCAAGCCUGAUCCAGCCAUACCGCGUGGGUGAAGAAGGCCUUCGGGUUGUAAAGCCCUUUUGUUGGGAAAGAAAUCCAGCUGGCUAAUACCCGGUUGGGAUGACGGUACCCAAAGAAUAAGCACCGGCUAACUUCGUGCCGCAGCCGCGGUAAUACGAAGGGUGCAAGCGUUACUCGGAAUUACUGGGCGUAAGCGUGCGUAGGUGGUCGUUUAAGUCCGUUGUGAAAGCCCUGGGCUCAACCUGGGAACUGCAGUGGAUACUGGGCGACUAGAGUGUGGUAGAGGGUAGCGGAAUUCCUGGUGUAGCAGUGAAAUGCGUAGAGAUCAGGAGGACAUCCAUGGCGAAGGCACUACCUGGACCACACUGAACUGAGGCACGAAGCGUGGGAGCAACAGGAUUAAAACCCUGGUAUCCCGCCCUAACGAUGCAACUGGAUGUUGGUGCAUUUGG
rnacentral:rRNA from 1 species